rnacentral:pre_miRNA from 1 species
AAGGUACUCCCUCCGUUCGGAAUUACUUGUCGCGGAAAUGAAUGUAUCUAGACGUAUUUUAGUUCUAGAUACAUCCAUUUUUAAGACAAGUAAUUCCGAACGGAGGGAGUAUCUG